AUUCCCCAAGCCAGCCAGCCACAACACCGUGAAUUCCUCAGGGAGGUGCCAGCCUCAUCUUCUUGAACUUCUCACGCUCCUGCUGGGGCCUAAGGACACGCUUCUCUCCCUGGGCAUGGCCUUCAUAAGCCCAUUCCAUCACAGUAGGAGAUGCCUCCCGUCACAGAAUGCAACACCAGCGGAUGUGCUUUGUUGCAUUCUAAUCUAAUAAAAUGGGGGGGAGGGAGGGGGGAGUUCCUGUUUCCCUGCAUGUGGUGGGAGAAUCCAGGACCCUGGAUCAGGACCCAGGUCUGCAGAGAGGAGAGGCCUCUUUGGUUCCGGGAAGGCAACAGAGAGAAUUGGGGAAUCUUUGCUCCAGCUGCAAGAAAUGCAGAUGAUCUACCAGCACUUGCCAACCUCUGCGCAUGGAGCGAGACCAUCGCGCAUGAAGAGCAUCAUCACGAAGGCCCAGCCUGCUUUUCUGCUUUCUUCUCUGCAAUCCAGCUGCCACAUGCAAAGGUUGGCCUGAUUCCUUUCACCCCCUGCUGUUAAAAGUGCUUCCAUCUGAACUGGACCUUCCAACCUUAAAGACAAUCAGAUUUCUGCGAGGAAAGGCACUGGACGAUUUGGGUUCGGCGCUGAGCUGACUUAAUGGGGAAUGUUUAAAACACUCGUGGUGGAAAAUUCAGGGCAACUGAAUGUGGCAAUGAGUUGGUACAUGAAUGUGGAACUAUCAGUGGUUGCAGCCUGAAGAGAGAAGGCGAGAAAUGGCUAUCGCAGAUGGCGCUUUGGAGAUGGUUCGUCUCUCCUGCCACCGUCUCUCCCCUUCUCCACCCCCCUCAAAGCACGCAGCAGCUUUGCAAGUUCAAAUGAGGGUCCUUGUGUGUUGAGUAACAAGAGAGACGCAUCCAUCUGCAGAGCUGGUGUGUGUCAGCAAAGCACAUCAAAUGCCUUUUUUCAACGUUUUUUAGCAAAGCAGUUGACAACAAGUUGAUUCAGAAAGUAUAAAAACAGACUGCCAUUAUUCAAAACAAAUUUCAGUUACUCAAGAAAGGUGUAAUGGAAUGAGGAAGAGAAGUUGGCAGCCAAAACGUGAAAAGGCUGAGCCAGUGUUUCUCAAAAACUAGUAUUGGCUCACUUUUGUGAGAAUUUUCAGACUCUGCCCAAAGGGUGGGAGACUUUCCACCUCUACUUGGAAAGUAAUCAACAAAACAGCAACCCCUUCCCCCAAUGGUUAGAAAUAUUGGAUUUCAAAAAUCAGAGAAUUUCACCAUCCCCUUUUUUGCGCAUCCAUGUACUAAUACUGGCUAUCUGGCACAGCACUCUUGGGAAGUCUAAAAAUGCUGUGCAACCAAGAUUUCCCCAUGUCAGGUUCUGCACACCGAAUAGAAAACUUGGUGCCAAGGUGUACAGCAUUCACAUGGCUCCCGCCACCUCACACACAUUCUGCAGGGGACCACCAGCUCUGGAAGUCUGGCUGACGACUGAGCCUUUGAAAAAAUAGUAGUAAAUUUACUUCUGUUCACUUUCAGCCUCUGAAUCAUAGCUUCAAACACUUGAAGCUCAUAAAUGCAAUGUGGCCACCUUUCCAAAAACAUGUUACAAUGCAGGAAAUAAAUGUAGCCUACAUAUCUAGAAAAAGGCAUGGAGCAAAAUCACAGGACUUUCUGCUUUUGAGAGAGAAGAAAUCUUUAGAAGCAGUUUUGGUAUCACAUCGAGGGUUAGGAAUCAAUAUUUAUCUAAGUUUAGCAUUUCACUUUCCAGGGAGGGAAGAUGACUGCUUCUUCCACAUAAUACUACCCGUAAUUUGUGAGACUGGAGAUACCGCUUUGCCUUCUCCCCACCCCCAGAGGGGCUGAUGGCCACAGCCUAACUGUGAGAGAAGCAAGAUUGCUCCUGGUUUGUUGUGUGUUAUGUUUCAUUCAUAUAUAUAUGAAUGACCGUCUCACCCCCAUUAUAUCAACCCGUCCGACCCGGUCAAGCAGAGAGGGUAUGCUGCGGACCCUGUCAAUGAAAGAAGGUCAACUAGUGGGGCCCAGAAGGAGAGCCUUCUCUGCCGUGGCCCCCGCCCUAUGGAAUACCCUCCCCCCAGAGGUGG